CAAUACCACGUGAGGGAAGACUGCCUAUGGGUUGUAAACCUCUUUUCUCAGGGAGGAAAUCAAUGACGUUACCUGAGGAAUAAGCAUCGGCUAACUCCGUGCCAGCAGCCGCGGUAAGACGGAGGAUGCAAGUGUUAUCCGGAAUCACUUGGGCGUAAAGCGUCUGUAGGUGGCUUAGCAAGUCAACUGUUAAAUCUUGAAGCUCAACUUCGAAAUCGCAGUCGAAACUGUUAGGCUAGAGUAUAGUAGGGGUAAAGGGAAUUUCCAGUGGAGCGGUGAAAUGCGUAGAGAUUGGAAAGAACACCGAUGGCGAAGGCACUUUACUGGGCUAUUACUGACACUCAGAGACGAAAGCUAGGGUAGCAAAUGGGAUUAGAUACCCCAGUAGUCCUAGCCGUAAACAAUGGAUACUAGAUGUUGGGCAGAUCGACCUGUUCAGUAUUAAAGCUAACGCGUUAAGUAUCCCGCCUGGGAAGUAUGCGCGCAAGCGUGAAACUC
rnacentral:rRNA from 1 species